rnacentral:rRNA from 2 species
GCAAGCUUGAGUCUCGUAGAGGGGGGUAGAAUUCCAGGUGUAGCGGUGAAAUGCGUAGAGAUCUGGAGGAAUACCGGUGGCGAAGGCGGCCCCCUGGACGAAGACUGACGCUCAGGUGCGAAAGCGUGGGGAGCAAACAGGAUUAGAUACCCUGGUAGUCCACGCCGUAAACGAUGUCGACUUGGAGGUUGUGCCCUUGAGGCGUGGCUUCCGGAGCUAACGCGUUAAGUCGACCGCCUGGGGAGUACGGCCGCAAGGUUAAAACUCAAAUGAAUUGACGGGGGCCCGCACAAGCGGUGGAGCAUGUGGUUUAAUUCGAUGCAACGCGAAGAACCUUACCUGGUCUUGACAUCCACGGAAGUUUUCAGAGAUGAGAAUGUGCCUUCGGGAACCGUGAGACAGGUGCUGCAUGGCUGUCGUCAGCUCGUGUUGUGAAAUGUUGGGUUAAGUCCCGCAACGAGCGCAACCCUUAUCCUUUGUUGCCAGCGGUCCGGCCGGGAACUCAAAGGAGACUGCCAGUGAUAAACUGGAGGAAGGUGGGGAUGACGUCAAGUCAUCAUGGCCCUUACGACCAGGGCUACACACGUGCUACAAUGGCGCAUACAAAGAGAAGCGACCUCGCGAGAGCAAGCGGACCUCAUAAAGUGCGUCGUAGUCCGGAUUGGAGUCUGCAACUCGACUCCAUGAAGUCGGAAUCGCUAGUAAUCGUGGAUCAGAAUGCCACGGUGAAUACGUUCCCGGGCCUUGUACACACCGCCCGUCACACCAUGGGAGUGGGUUGCAAAAGAAGUAGGUAGCUUAACCUUCGGGAGGGCGCUUACCACUUUGUGAUUCAUGACUGGGGUGAAGUCGUAACAAGGUAACCGUAGGGGAACCUGCGGUUGGAUCACCUCCUUACCUUAAAGAAGC